rnacentral:rRNA from 1 species
CCUACGGGAGGCAGCAGUGGGGGAUAUUGCACAAUGGGGGGAACCCUGAUGCAGCGACGCCGCGUGGGGGAAUGAAGGUCUUCGGAUUGUAAACCCCUGUCAUGUGGGAGCAAAUUAAAAAGAUCGUACCCCAAGAGGAAGAGACGACUAACUCUGUGCCAGCAGCCGCGGUAAUACAGAGGUCUCAAGCGUUGUUCGGAAUCACUGGGCGUAAAGCGUGCGGAGGCUGUUUCGUAAGUCGUGUGUGAAAGGCGCGGGCUCAACCCGCGGACGGCACAUGAUACUGCGAGACUAGAGUAAGGGAGGGGGAACCGGAAUUCUCGGUGUAGCAGUGAAAUGCGUAGAUAUCGAGAGGAACACUCGUGGCGAAGGCGGGUUCCUGGACAUUAACUGACGCUGAGGCACGAAGGCCAGGGGAGCGAAAGGGAUUAGAUACCCUGGUAGUC